GGGGCUGCAUUCCUCUCGGCAGACUUUGGUGCUGCAACGUUUUGGGAGAAUUAACAUUGAUGUCCAUGAUGUCCAUGGCUGAAGAAAUUGUUGCUUAAUACACCUAGUGAUACCCUUUGAAGCAAAUCUAGAAGGAUAAAACCUGAAGUAUGAAUGCAAGAAAGUUAUGAUGAAUCUAUAGGCAUAAUACAAAAAAUAAUUUAAUUCAAAUAAUGACUAAGAAGAUAAUGUGGUAUUAUCCUUUUCCAUAAGGUUCAAUAGAAGGUCGAUUAUCUGGGAAAGGAUCAUUCACAUCAUCAGGGUCAUCAGAUGGUUGCUGAACAUUUGCAGAUGGUAUAGAAGAUGAUGUCCUGGGGAUAGAAGGAGAGGGAUCAAUUAUUGGUGUCGGAUCCACAAUAGGAUUUGGUGUGGGUGGUACAAUAGAAGGAGUGGGUCGUAUAGUAGGGGAAAUGCGUCGUUGAGUACGGGAUGGGGUCGGUACAGUAGGAGGUGUGGGCUACGGAGUAAGGCGUGGUGGGUGAGAUGAUCGAACGUCAGGUUGAGUACUACCGUAUGCCAAUGGUGGGGUGUCAGGAACCCUGAUAACAUACUACACUUGCUUUCUAGGUUUUUUAUAGCCUUUCCCUUAUCAGGCCGCAAAGGACCCUCUCCGGACAUGGCUACAAUAUGGAAGUGUAAAAAUACACAGGCAAAAAUUGUAAAUCAUUAAUUAACACAUAAUACAUUAAUUCAAUUUUAAAACAUCAUAUAAUUUUCACAAAUAUUGUUACAACAAUUGUUCAAAAUUUGUAGAACGGUUUAUCAUAACUAAAGGGUUGUUCUAAUUCAAUCAUCUUAAUCGUCGUCUUCAUCAUUGUCAUCAUCAUUACUAUCAUCAUUGUUGGAACUGUCACUAUCAUCAUCAUAAUGCAAAGAAUCAUCAUCAUCAUCUUCAUUGUCGUCUUCAAAUUCUUCUUCAUCUUUUUCGUCUUCUUCUUCCUCUUCUUCUUCUCCUUCUUCUUCAUCUUCUUGGUUUUGUCCCUUCAACUCUUCAUCAUCACCAUCAAUGUCAUGCAAUGCGGCUAUACCUUCAACUUCAAUAAUUUCAUUUCCAUGUUCCAUUUCAUGAACUUGGUAAGAGAUUUCGUCUUGGAUAUCAUUUGACUCAAUGCGACCCCUAGGUUUGGUUUAUAUUGCAACACACCAACCACAUUUGCCAAUGUUACAAAAAUUUGGAUAUGGAACAUAAUAAACUUGUCUAACAUUUUAUGCUAGAAUGAAUGGAUCAAAUGGGCGGUAUCUUGAAGUCAAUUGAAUUUCAACAAUAUUAUACCUAGGAUCCACUCUUGCUCCACUCCUAGAAGGAUAAAACCAUUCACAAUAAAAAAGAACUACUCUCUUUGGAGUAGUUGAACUAUUGUACUCGAACUCAUAAAUUUUUUGAAUAAUAACAUAGAAAUCAUCAUAACCACCCUCGGUAAGUCCCUUCACAAACACACCAGAAUUAGU
rnacentral:lncRNA from 1 species